GGUUCCAUUUUCUGUGAGAUAAAUAUAUAACCUUGUAUGAAAGUACCAUAUGAAAAUUAAAUGCGAAAGCAAAAAAACAUUUACAAUACUCUAAGCGCAUAAAUUUAGUAAAAAAGGUGAAAUUUUCUAAGACCGCUCUCAAAUUCCCUGUUUUUUUUAACAACGCGUCAUAUUACGUAGUCAGAGGCGUUCUUCUGACAGGCUCUAUUGGCUCAGUGCUGCGGUUGUAUUAAGCAAAAGCAGUCGCAAAUUGAUGUGAUUCUUCGUAGUUUCAAUUUAGCAUCGUCAUGGUUAAUAAUUGUGUUAGUGGAGGUUUUACAAACUCCAGCCUGUCAGGACAAUGAGUCUACAGGUUUCUUUUGAAGAAUAAAGACCGCGCUAUUUUCCGUGUCUGGGUGUGUUUAGCGCAGCACGAGGAAAGAGACGAGAGACGCGACUUCACUUCAGCAUGUGCUUCAGAAAAACGCGGUGGUGUAUAGCGUUCACAUUUGAUCGGAGGAUUAUCAUCCCGGCAAUAUGAUGGAGUUAAACAUUGGAUGCCGAAGCAAGAACCACGUGAGGCCUGUGUUUUUGCCACCUCGAGAAAACAUGAAUCGAUCACGGUCCGUCUGAGAUGCAGCUCGAAGAUAACGUGAACUAUGCACAUUGUCCAGCUACAGAUUAAGAUGCUUAGUAUGAUUAAUCAUCCUCUGUUGUCAUGGAUGAACCUGGUGAUGUGUUAUGGAGGAGGAAAAAACAAAAAAAACUCAUCUGAUGAGAAACCACUGCAAGAAUCUCAUCCUGUUCACACAAGUAAGACUUAUUCAAAAAUAAUGUUUUUUCUUUUUAUUCAGGGCUGUUGGCAAGUUCAUUGUUUGCUAAAGCCAGCUGAUGUCUGUUGUACCAUAACCUGUAUUUUUUGUUUUAUAUGCUAUGGUAUAGUAAUUUUCUGCUUUUUAUAUACAUCUCUUAGGUCUGUGCAGCAUGCAUGUAUCAGCAUUUUUUGUGACCAGUGACUGAGGGGCGUGAAUUCCAAAUAUGUGUUUGUUGUGACGUGUGUGAACCAUGUGCAUCAUGCCUCUUGUCACAAUAGGCUACGUGCCUGCUGCACAUGCAUUGAAAAGGUUUAUGAUAAAAGAAGCACUCAUGUUCACAAAAUACUCGCAAGACACUAACUUGACACUAAACUGUGAUUACACAGGAGAUUAAGUGAGUAUCAGGCAAACGUGAGCGUAUCUUUUAUCAUAAACCCUUUACAUGCGUGUGCAGCAGAUUUUGACAUCACGUGUGAUGCACAUAAGUUUACAUGACGCGCUGAACACAUAUUUUGAAAUGACAAGCAACACACAUGACGAGCUCAAUGCAUGUGACCAGCUUCGCAACGUGUGCCCUCGAAAAAAAGUCACCGGCCGACACUGACCCAGAUCAUCAAGAUGUUAAAGCUGUUUGGGCUUCAGAGCAUCUUGUCAGCACCUUCUUCCACCAUGUACACAAUUUCUACCAUCGUGAAGGCGUGGCAGAAUGAGAGAUUUGCAGUCACCACAGGCUCUACGAGAAUGCAGCACUGUCCUGUCUUCCACUACACCUGCUCCCCUCUCCAGAGCCAUCCAGAGGAUCAACAAGGAUGAAGCUGUUGGGAUCUAUUAAUCACAGCAUUCACAAUUUAACACAUUAUUAUAAUACCCGCACAAAUGAUGGAAAGAUACUGAAUUUUUUUUUAAAUGUUUUUAAAUGGGUCAGAUUGUAUAUCUUUCUUUCGGUGCUACAUAAAUAAAACUAAAUCGCAUUACAAAUGCAGAUCUACUUUGUAUAUAUCUGAUCUAAACUUCAUAAACCAGUUUUUAUACGGUAAGACAAUUUGUGAUUAUUGUUUAUUGAUUGUCACAAAAUGGGGGUAUUCAAACCAUUUAUAAAGUCCUCCUUCCUCUGGAACCUGUCCUCGAAUGGCUGACACAUGCAGGUAAGGGCGCCUGCACAGAGUUCCUUAGACACCCAGCGGAUAACUUGCCUAUGCUGUAUUUAGUGGUAUUGUCUGGAGAUGGGAAAACUUUUAAUAUUGUUAAUUUGAAUAUUGACUAGUGCCAGCAAAAAUUGUGACUUAGUCAUGACCUAUAGGCAACUUGUAAUGAAAACAAAUUCAUUAGGAUUGUUUUAAAACAAAUUUAUUAAGAUUGUUUUAACAUUCAAAUCUUUAGUUUACUGUUCAUUUAUACAUGCAUAUUAAAUAAAUUACUAAUAAAUAAUCUCUGCCAUAAACAUA